CAGCCGCGUAAUUCCAGCUCCAAUAGCGUAUAUUAAAGUUGUUGCAGUUAAAAAGCUCGUAGUUGAAUUUCGGGAUCAAGGGAUCGGUCAUGCCUUGGUAUGUACUGGUCUUAUUGGUUCUCACCUUCUAAAGAACCAUGAUGUCAUUCAUUUGAUGUUAUGGGGAAUUAGGACUGUUACCUUGAAAAAAUUAGAGUGUUUAAAGCAAGCUUACGCUUGAAUACAUUAGCAUGGAAUAAUGAAAUAGGACAUCAGAUUCUAUUUUGUUGGUUUCUAGGAUCGAUGUAAUGAUUAAUAGGGAUAGUUGGGGGCAUUAGUAUUCAAUUGUCAGAGGUGAAAUUCUUGGAUUUAUUGAAGACUAACUACUGCGAAAGCAUUUGCCAAGGAUGUUUUCAUUAAUCAAGAACGAAAGUUAGGGGAUCGAAGACGAUCAGAUACCGUCGUAGUCUUAACCAUAAACUAUGCCGACUAGGGAUCGGAUGAUGUUAAUUUUUUAAUGACUCAUUCGGCACCUUACG
rnacentral:misc_RNA from 1 species